rnacentral:rRNA from 1 species
GACGAACGCUGGCGGCGUGCUUAACACAUGCAAGUCGAACGGAAAGGCCCUGCUUUUGUGGGGUGCUCGAGUGGCGAACGGGUGAGUAACACGUGAGUAACCUGCCCUUGACUUUGGGAUAACUUCAGGAAACUGGGGCUAAUCCCGGAUCGGAGCUCCUGCUGCAUGGUGGGGGUUGGAAAGUUUCGGCGGGUGGGGAUGGACUCGCGGCUUAUCAGCUUGUUGGUGGGGUAGUGGCUUACCAAGGCUUUGACGGGUAGCCGGCCUGAGAGGGUGACCGGCCACAUUGGGACUGCGAUACGGCGCAGACUCCUACGGGAGGCAGCAGUGGGGAGUAUUGCACAAUGGGCGGAAGCCUGAUGCAGCAACGCCGCGUGCGGGAUGACGGCUUUCGGGUUGUAAACCGCUUUCGCCUGUGACGAAGCGUGAGUGACGGUAAUGGGUAAAGAAGCACCGGCUAACUACGUG